GUGAGUAACACGUAAGAACCUGCCUGUAGGACGGGGACAACAGUUGGAAACGACUGCUAAACCCGGAUGAGCCGAAAGGUAAAAGAUUAAUCGCCUAGAGAGGGGCUUGCGUCUGAUUAGCUAGUUGGUGAGGUAAGAGCCCACCAAGGCGACGAUCAGUAGCUGGUCUGAGAGGAUGAUCAGCCACACUGGGACUGAGACACGGCCCAGACUCCUACGGGAGGCAGCAGUGGGGAAUUUUCCGCAAUGGGCGAAAGCCUGACGGAGCAAGACCGCGUGGGGGAGGAAGGUUCUUGGAUUGUCAACCCCUUUUCUCAGGGAAGAACACAAUGACGGUACCUGAGGAAAAAGCAUCGGCUAACUCCGUGCCAGCAGCCGCGGUAAUACGGGGGAUGCAAGCGUUAUCCGGAAUGAUUGGGCGUAAAGAGUCCGUAGGUAGUCAUCCAAGUCUGCUGUUAAAGAGCGAGGCUUAACCUCGUAAAGGCAGUGGAAACUGGAAGACUAGAGUGUAGUAGGGGCAGAGGGAAUUCCUGGUGUAGCGGUGAAAUGCGUAGAGAUCAGGAAGAACACCGGUGGCGAAGGCGCUCUGCUGGGCUAUAACUGACACUGAGGGACGAAAGCUAGGGGAGCGAAUGGGAUUAGAUACCCCAGUAGUCCUAGCGGUAAACGAUGGAAACUAGGUGUGGCCUGUAUCGACCCGGGCCGUGCCGAAGCAAACGCGUUAAGUUUCCCGCCUGGGGAGUACGCACGCAAGUGUGAAACUCAAAGGAAUUGACGGGGGCCC
rnacentral:rRNA from 2 species